rnacentral:rRNA from 1 species
UACGUAGGGUGCAAGCGUUAAUCGGAAUUACUGGGCGUAAAGCGUGCGCAGGCGGUUCGCUAAGACCGAUGUGAAAUCCCUCGGCUUAACCGAGGAACUGCCUGUCAGACUGGGUUGCUUGAGACCGGGAGAGGCGAGUGGAAUUCCCAGUGUAGCGGUGAAAUGCGUAGAUAUUGGGAGGAACACCAGUGGCGAAGGCGGCUCGCUGGACCGGAACUGACGCUGAGGCGCGAAAGCGUGGGGAGCAAACAGG